GGAGGGCGCAAGCGUUGUUCGGAAUUACUGGGCGUAAAGCGCGUGUAGGCGGCUUGGCCAGUCGGGUGUGAAAUCCCCGGGCUCAACCCGGGAACUGCAUCCGAAGCUUCCAGGCUAGAGUCCCGGAGAGGAAGGCAGAAUUCCCAAUGUAGGGGUGAAAUCCGUAGAUAUUGGGAGGAAUACCAGCGGCGAAGGCGGCCUUCUGGACGGUGACUGACGCUGAGACGCGAAAGCGUGGGGAGCAAACAGGAUUAGAUACCCUGGUAGUCCACGCCGUAAACUGUGCGCACUAGGUGUCGGGGGUAUUCACCCCCCUCCGGUGCCGGAGCUAACGUAUUAAGUGCGCCGCCUGGGAAGUACGGCCGCAAGGCUA
rnacentral:rRNA from 1 species